rnacentral:lncRNA from 1 species
CCAAUCCAGGCCAACGUGGUGUGAGCAAAAGCCCCGACUUAAUGCAUAUGAAUGUAUAUGGCAUGUACGACUUGAAGUUCCACAACAUAAUAACAACGACAACAUAACAGCUUUUUCAGCAACAACAACUUAAAAAUCAACUUUGGCUCAUCAGCCUACAACUCAGCAUUUUCAACAAAACAACUUAUAUUCAACUUUG